GUCGAGGGGCAGCAUGGUCUUAGCUUGCUAAGGCCGAUGGCGACCGGCGCACGGGUGAGUAACACGUAUCCAACCUGCCGUCUACUCUUGGACAGCCUUCUGAAAGGAAGAUUAAUACAAGAUGGCAUCAUGAGUCCGCAUGUUCACAUGAUUAAAGGUAUUCCGGUAGACGAUGGGGAUGCGUUCCAUUAGAUAGUAGGCGGGGUAACGGCCCACCUAGUCUUCGAUGGAUAGGGGUUCUGAGAGGAAGGUCCCCCACAUUGGAACUGAGACACGGUCCAAACUCCUACGGGAGGCAGCAGUGAGGAAUAUUGGUCAAUGGGCGAGAGCCUGAACCAGCCAAGUAGCGUGAAGGAUGACUGCCCUAUGGGUUGUAAACUUCUUUUAUAAAGGAAUAAAGUCGGGUAUGGAUACCCGUUUGCAUGUACUUUAUGAAUAAGGAUCGGCUAACUCCGUGCCAGCAGCCGCGGUAAUACGGAGGAUCCGAGCGUUAUCCGGAUUUAUUGGGUUUAAAGGGAGCGUAGAUGGAUGUUUAAGUCAGUUGUGAAAGUUUGCGGCUCAACCGUAAAAUUGCAGUUGAUACUGGAUAUCUUGAGUGCAGUUGAGGCAGGCGGAAUUCGUGGUGUAGCGGUGAAAUGCUUAGAUAUCACGAAGAACUCCGAUUGCGAAGGCAGCCUGCUAAGCUGCAACUGACAUUGAGGCUCGAAAGUGUGGGUAUCAAACAGGAUUAGAUACCCUGGUAGUCCACACGGUAAACGAUGAAUACUCGCUGUUUGCGAUAUACUGCAAGCGGCCAAGCGAAAGCGUUAA
rnacentral:rRNA from 1 species